rnacentral:rRNA from 1 species
CAGCCGCCACGGUAAUACGGAGGGUGCAAGCGUUAAUCGGAAUUACUGGGCGUAAAGCGCACGCAGGCGGUCUGACAAGUCAGAUGUGAAAUCCCCGGGCUUAACCUGGGAACUGCAUUUGAAACUGUCAGGCUGGAGUCUUGUAGAGGGGGGUGGAAUUCCAGGUGUAGCGGUGAAAUGCGUAGAGAUCUGGAGGAAUACCGGUGGCGAAGGCGGCCCCCUGGACAAAGACUGACGCUCAGGUGCGAAAGCGUGGGGAGCAAACAGGAUUAGAUACCCCGGUAGUCCCUGUCUCUUAUAU